ACUCCUACGGGAGGCACAGUGGGGAAUAUUGCACAAUGGGGCGCAAGCCUGAUGCAGCCAUGCCGCGUGUGUGAAGAAGGCCUUCGGGUUGUAAAAGCACUUUCAGUUGUGAGGAAGGUGGGUGUCGUUUAAUAGCGGGCAUCAUUUUGACGUUAGCACAGAAGAAGCACCGGCUAACUCCGUGCCAGCAGCCGCGGUAAUACGGAGGGUGCGAGCGUUAAUCGGAAUUACUGGGCGUAAAGCGCAUGCAGGUGGUUUGUUAAGUCAGAUGUGAAAGCCCGGGGCUCAAGCCUCGGAACUGGACAUUUGAACU
rnacentral:rRNA from 1 species